rnacentral:rRNA from 1 species
GUGUCAGCAGCCGCGGUAAUACGGAGGAGGCAAGCGUUAUCCGGAAUUAUUGGGCGUAAAGCGUCCGUAGGUGGUUAAUCAAGUCAGUUGUCAAAGCGUGGGGCUUAACUCCAUACAGGCAGUUGAAACUGAUUGACUAGAGUGCGGUAGGGGUCGGGGGAAUUCCCUGUGUAGCGGUGAAAUGCGUAGAGAUGGGGAAGAACACCGGUGGCGAAAGCGCCCGACUGGGCCUGCACUGACACUGAGGGACGAAAGCUAGGGGAGCGAAAGGGAUUAGAAACCCGCGUAGUCC